rnacentral:rRNA from 1 species
CGCGUAGGUGGUUUGUUAAGUUGGAUGUGAAAGCCCCGGGCUCAACCUGGGAACUGCAUCCAAAACUGGCAAGCUAGAGUACGGUAGAGGGUGGUGGAAUUUCCUGUGUAGCGGUGAAAUGCGUAGAUAUAGGAAGGAACACCAGUGGCGAAGGCGACCACCUGGACUGAUACUGACGCUGAGGCACGAAAGCGUGGGGAGCAAACA